GACAGAGGUCCCAAGCGUUAGGCGGAAUCACUGGGCUUAAAGCGUGUGUAGGCGGAUCCGUAAGUACCUUGUGAAAUCCCACGGCUCAACCGUGGAACUGCUGGGUAUACUGCGGGUCUUGAGCCACCUAGGGGCGAGCGGAACAAGUGGUGGAGCGGUGAAAUGCGUAGAUAUCACUUGGAACGCCAAUGGUGAAGACAGCUCGCUGGGGGUGUCCUGACGCUGAGGCGCGAAAGCCAGGGGAGCGAACGGG
rnacentral:rRNA from 1 species